rnacentral:rRNA from 1 species
AUUGAACUCUGGCGGCAGGCCUAACACAUGCAAGUCGAGCGGAGCGGCGGACGGGUUAGUAAUGCCAAGGAAUCUGCCUGGUAGUGGUGGAUAACGUCCGGAAACGGGCGCUAAUACCGCAUACUAUCAGAUGAGCCUAGGUCGGAUUAGCUAGGUGGUGGUGUAAAGGGCUACCAAGGCGACGAUCCGUAACUGGUCUGAGAGGAUGAUCAGUCACACUGGAACUGAGACACGUUCCAGACUCCUACGAGAGGCUGCAGUGGGGAAUAUUGGACAAUGGGUGAAGGCCUGAACCAGCCAUGCCGCGUGUGUGAAGAAGGUCUUCAGAGUGUCAAGCACAUUAAGUUGGGAGGCGUUACCAACAGCAUAAGCACCGGCAAACUAAGUGCCAGCAGCCGCGGUAAUAC